rnacentral:rRNA from 1 species
UACGUAGGGGGCAAGCGUUGUCCGGAAUCAUUGGGCGUAAAGAGUGUGUAGGCGGUGCUCCAAGUCUGUUGUGAAAUCUCCCGGCUUAACUGGGAGGGUGCGGCGGAAACUGGAAUGCUAGAGGGUGGGAGAGGUAAGCGGAAUUCCUGGUGUAGCGGUGAAAUGCGUAGAUAUCAGGAGGAACACCUGUGGUGUAGACAGCUUACUGGACCACUUCUGACGCUGAGACACGAAAGCGUGGGUAGCAAACAGG